UUUAAAAAAACAAAUUAUAAAAAAAAGAAAAAUUACACCUUGUUUUUUUGUUCCAUUAAAGUAAACUGGGGGAUAAUUAAACAGUUGAUGCACAUGCAAUUUUAUUAUGUCGUACACCAAGGUUCAAUUUAUUUUUCUUUAAAAAUAAUAAAGUCAGGUAGUUAAUAUGCAGAUGUUUGUCUUUUAUACAAUAGUUUUGGUCAAAAUACUCGAACGAACAGUGUCAGGUAUUUUUGGAAACAUGCCUAGUUUUGAUUCUUGAGAUAGAUGAAUGUUUAAAUCUGGUGGUGCCACAUAAUGAUAGAAAACAAAUGAUAAAUUUCAAUUGAUUGUAAGCAUAUUGGGUUUUUAUAUAGUGUCUUUUAUUUUUAGUGAUACAAUAAGUUUUUACAUUACAAAACUAAUUUUAUAUUUAAAAAAAAAAGACAGGCCUUUUAUAAAAAAAUUAAGCUUAGAAAUUUUUUGUAAAAUUCUUUUAAAUUUCGGUAGUAUUCAAAAUGUUACAAAAGUUUUAUUUAGGUAAAGCCAAAGAAAACAUAAACAAUGAAGAAAUGAUUGAUUUAGAAUAUACAACUAUGGAUGAUACGUUUUCGAAAAACGAUAAAACUUAUUUAAAUAAUUCAAAUGAUAUGUCAUCAGGAAAAUAUCUUUGGUUAAGGACUUUACCGAAUGUUAUUGAAAUGGGUUCAACGUUCAUUAAGCCAUAUUUUACUUCCUUACAAUAUCAACAAUCACUGCAAAAUAUAGAAGAGUCCACUCUAAUACGAUUUCUUUGUUUUUCCGGCGGAUUCGCUUUGGUUCUUUCAAAUAUCUUAUCUUUAUUAGAUUUCCUUAAAAUUUUCACCGGACCUCUCAUGUACGUUCUUCAUAUAUAUCAAGCUUUUUUUGGAUGCGUUAUCAUGAUACUGGAAGCUCAUGAAUAUAGUUUUUUACACCAUCUUAAACCUUGGAUGUUACAAUGGUUUCGAUUUCUUACCGUACCAGCUGGAAAAGGAGCAUUUUAUUUAUUUGUUGGAUCGCUAGGUGUAGCUUUAUGGAUAUCAAAUUUUUUGGUUUUUCUUAUUGGUGUGUACAUGGUCUGUAUGGGAGUCACUUUAAUAUCUUUUUAUCUUCAUCGUCGAAGUGUAUUGAAACAACAAUGCAAGGGCGAAAAUCUCCUUUAUACUUCUGUUGAUAAGGACGUAAACUUAGUCACGUAUUGCCAAGCUGAUAACCCUUUAUUAUACAAUUGUUCUACAAACGAUGAUCAAACAACAAAUUCAACAUAUUAUGUUCCCAAAUCACAGAAAUGGAUGUCAACGUCUCUUGAAGAUGAUUUGAAAUCCAAUGAUACAAGUAAUUUUUCUACUCAAUACGAACAACAUGAUAAGACAUUUGAAAAAAAACAAGAUAUGAGAAUAAAUUCUUAUAAAAUGACAGGUCAUCAAUAUAAGCACCCAGAUCCCUCCAGUGAUUUUGAUACAUCCUUUCAAAACGUUCUACCCAACAUCGAUUCCCACUUUCACAAACGUGACAAUAAAUGCUUUUCUUUGUAAUCUCAACCUUAUAGAAACAGUACAUAAAAUUUUUUUUCAUAUAGGUUAUAAUACAAUGGUAUCCUCUUGUCCUGAUUUAAAUCUUUUUCUUUUUAUUUUCUUAUAUUUUAAUGUUUUUUUUUUGUAACGGGUUUAAAAGCUUAAAAGAAUUUGAAAUUCUUUUUUAUUCCGUUUCCAAUUUUUCGAUGUUUAUCGAAAAACAUAUAUAACAGGUCCUGUAUGAGUCAAGUAGAAGACCCGCGGCAACUUGGAAUUUCUGUUUUAUUUAUAAUCUAUUUUUAUAUAUGUUGUUUAAGAGUCGGGUUGAUAGAGAAACUCAAAAACAAACACUGUACAAGCCUCAAUUUUUCAACGGUUUGCAUUAAGCAAUAUUGUUGCAAAUAUUAUCUUGUUUUAAAAAUUAAUUACUUCAUCAAAUAAACCUUCAAUAAAAUUUGUUUAGUGAAUGUUAAAACAUAAUCGCAAAGUGUUAGCGACAUGGUGGAGUCAAGGUGCCUCAAUAGUUUUUAGAGAAAAAAAAAUGUUUUUUAAAGAGCGAAAAAGAAAGCAUUUGAUGAAGGGUAGACAAAAUUUCAGUGUUUAUUAAAUACAACAAAGUGAAGGAACGUAAAUCUUUAUUUACGAGUGUAAGAAAAAGCCAUUUACGCAGAUGAAUUCGACGAAAAUCAAAAAAAUUAAGCUCAUUAAGUUAUUUUAAAAUUAAAUUGAUUAAAUAGAAAACUUAAAGUAAUUUGAGGUUGAAGUAAAUCUUGAAACUUUUUACUUGGUGUCAUAAUACUUUUUCGAGAUGCGUUGACAUCCGGCCCUGUCUUCUUCAGCAGAACAACCAGUGACUAUUUAAUUUCAAACAAAAAUAAACUCAUUUCGUGAUUUCAAGCAUGAGUACACCGCAAGAUAAAAAAUUUAGCGAGCUGGGCAAAGGUUUAAUUCAUUUUAACUCCAAUCAGAGAAAAAAAUAUUUAAAACAAGUGGAAGAACUUUUAUCUCACAAAGCAAAGGAUUUUGAUCAUGAGGACUUUUUUAAACUUUGGAUUGUGUUAUUUUUUGCAUUAUGGAAUGCCGACGGUCCCCAAGCAUCCCAGGAACUGAGUUUGACAUUUUCUAAACUUCUCUAUAAGGUUCCGAAAAAAUCUAUCGGUGUGUGGAUGGAUGCCUUUUGGUUCACACUUCAAAAAGAAUGGAACAAAUUGGAUAAGUAUAGAGUUGAAAAGUUUCAAUUAUUGAUACGGCUUUUUCUUACUGAAACGUUUCUUUUUCUUCGACAAAAUCAAUGGGAUUCCAAAAUGAUUGAAUUCGCUACGAGUUCUUGGGUUUAUGGACCGAUCAAUGGUGUUCAAACUACAAAUGUUGUGGGUGUUGUAUAUCAAUUGAUCGAUGUGUUUAUGGAGGUUUUGCGACCAAUAGCAGAAAACGAUAAAAACUUUACACCGUCAACUCUUCUUUUAUUAAUUCAUGAUUUUAUCCUUGCCUUGGUCAAAGGAAGUCAUUCCGGUGUAGCGGAGAAAGUUCAUAUGCAGAUCAUAGGAAAAUUGAAAGCAGAAAAUGAGAAUGAAGUGGAACAAGUGGCUAAAUGUUUGUUUCGGUAUGGAUCUUUAGGAGAGAAAGGUGUACGCAUAAAACGAGUCUUUAGAAGUAUUGAAGUGUUGGAUAAAGCUUUAAGCAAAGUUAAUAAAAAAGUGGAUUAUGAACAUCUUAUUGAAGAUAUCCGAUCGAAGAGCAUAGGAAUUAAGGAAAAUUUAACUUCUGAACAAAUGAAGGCGUCAUCUCAACAAUGCAAAAAAACCAAGAAUAAAAGAUUGCGGAAAAUAAAACGACACGUUCGUUUAACGUAUUGUACACGGCGUCGUCGAAUUUUCAAGCGUCAAGCUUCAACAAAACUUUAAAUUAAAAAUAACAUAUUUCACUCUUAUUACAAAUGAUAUUAAAACAUAAUUCAAUGCGUUAUGUAGUGUCUUUUUACGUCAACUAAGUAAAAAAUUGUAUCUUGGUGUACAAAAUGACGUAAACAAGACAAAAGAUAUGCUUGCUAUUGGAAAUUUUAUACGCUUGCCAUCUGGUAAAGCAGUAAUUUGUUUCCAAGGACUGUAAAGCAAGUAGAGUUAGGAAAUGUUAGAAAUCAUUUGAUCGUCAAUUCCUUUUUUUUUUUGUACAAGUGUAAUAAAAAAAAAUUUUGGAAAAAGAGUAAAAUUAUUUUUUAAAAGUGUGUCAAGAGAAGGAACAUAAAAAAUAUGAAGGAAUACGGUAUGAACCUUUGGUGGACAUUCGAUCAUGUUCUCCAAGGAGAGCAGCUGAAAAAGAAUACGUGUUGUUCGAUUGAUACAGCAAACAAGAAAAAUAUCAUGUCAAUUGCUAUGGGAACAAUGCCUUGUACAGCACAAAAUCGACAUUCAAAAGGAUUGGGCGCACCAGUUGCCGUGAUCUCUUUCGAGUCAUUAGAACGGAAAGAUAGUCAAACGGGAGAAAAUCAAAGAAGACAUCAAAAACAAAAAGUUUUUACCUAUUUAUGCCAUGCUCAGAAAAAAAAUUAUUUCCUUGAUGGAUUCCAUUAUGGAGCAGAUUGUAUCAUGUAUAAGGGUAAAGAUGUUAAAUUUUUCGUUUUUGACGACUAGCAGAGUAGCACACUUUUAACUUGACGAAUAUUUAUGAAUAGGAUUAAGUGAUAACCAUCAUGGAACGCACAUUUUUAAUACUUUCACCGAGGUAGAGAAAAUUUCGUGUACAGGUCUUGUUACUAUGGUUCGCUUAGCAAGCGAGGUGAAAAAAAAGCUUGUUUUAAUUUUCAUAAAAGAUACAAGAAUUAAAUUGAACUCUCUAGUUGCAAAGACGCAUCAGAAAGAAAUCGAAAGUAUGUGUGUUGAAAGAUUUCUUUGAGAGAAACACUUUACUGUUUUUGAAACCAAUCAAAAUUUUUCUGCGGUACUGAUUUUGUGACUGCACUUUUUACUAUUACUUUAAUUUAAAACAUAUAUAUUUUAAAAUAGACUACCGUUGAAAAAGUGGAAAGGUAACAUCCACAAACAUAACUUGAGCACGUGCUGUUUUAUUUACUGUUGUUGUUAAAAGCUUUUUAACGCAUGCAUUUAAACAUGAGUGUCACAAUGAUAUUGGGACUAACACGUGCGAGUUGAAAGAAUGUCAGUUUUGUAGGAGCUGUUUACUUCAAUCCGGAAAAAAUAAAUUUCCUCUUUCAAAAUACGUUAUCAAAACAGAUUUCAACGUAAAUUUUUUUUUUAAAACCCACUGUUAAUCCUUCUACGUUCUAUCUUGAUAUUUUUGAAAACAAAAAUGUUAUCAACCUUACAAUAUCUUUUCUUUCUUUCCUUUGUCGCCGGUUCCGUUUUUUCUUUUGAAAAAAGCAUACAGUUUGAAGCAUGGAAUCCAGCAGAGCCAACAACACCAAAACUAUUCACAGCUUGCUUCGUAGGUAGAGUUGCUGACCUUACAUUAACUAUUGGUAGCGCCGUCCUUACCAUGAAAGAAGCAACAACAAAAAAUGUAGACGAUGGAGCAUGUUACGCACUUACAAGUUGUGAUAUAUGGGAAGAACUAGCAAAAUUACCUGGCGAUAAAGGAAAAGAAUUAAAAAAAGAUUUAACGACUGCUAAAUUAACAACAUCUGCUUCUAUUACAGGCGAAAUGCUGUUUCGCAUUAACAGUGUUCAUGUUAAGAUCCCUGCUGCAAAUGAGUCGGUGACUGUAAAUGAGACCCCGUCUUUUAACAUGUUGCAUUUGGACGGCUAUCAUGGCUGUAAAACCAGCGCAAAACUUGACGGCAUGGAAUCAGUAUUCAGGACAGUGGUUUUGAACAAAAAGAAAGACUAUCCUCAAUGUAUUACAGCGGACGUGUAUAAUAAACUUUCGGAUGAAAAAAUGAAAGAUAAAGAUGGAAAUGACUACAAAGAUUAUGGAGAAAUUUUGUUUAGAUCUCUUACUCCAGACGGAACUGCAAAAAACAUUAAAGAUAAAAAUAAUUUGAUGGAAGAAAUCACAUGUUCAGGAGCUGCUUCGGUGUUUGUUGCGUCGUUUGCUAUUUUGGCAAGCUUAUUAUCCAUUACCGGAAUUCUCAAACAGUAAAAAACAUAUAAUAUUAUAAACUUUAAGUUCCGUACGUAACAGGAAAAUGUGUCAAUAAUGAUGUCGUUUAUUUUUUUGUAAUUGCGUAUCUAGAAAAAAAAUGAUUACAGACAAUUAAAAAAAUUUUAAUAUUUUUUCAUUUUAAAAAAAUAUGGUUUUCAAGUGUCGUAAAAUUUUUGUUUGAUUAAUUACUCUAAGUAUUUCGUGUAUGUCAAUGAAUAAAUUUUUUUUGUAGUAUUCUUUACCAUUACAAGAAUUUAAAUAAGAUUUUGAACUGAAUAGAUAAAGUACAAGUUGUUGACACUUUUCUUUUUACA